UGGCUGAGUGGUAAAGUAUUUGGUUUCUGAAUCAGAGGGUCCCGGGUUCAAAUCCUGG
rnacentral:tRNA from 1 species